UACGUAGGUGGCGAGCGUUGUCCGGAUUUAUUGGGUUUAAAGGGUGCGUAGGCGGCUUGAUAAGUCAGUGGUGAAAUACUCCAGCUUAACUGGAGGGGUGCCAUUGAUACUGUUGAGCUUGAGUACAGAUGAGGUAGGCGGAAUUGACGGUGUAGCGGUGAAAUGCAUAGAUAUCGUCAAGAACACCGAUAGCGAAGGCAGCUUACUGGGCUGUAACUGACGCUGAGACGCGAAAGCGUGGGGAGCAAACAGG
rnacentral:rRNA from 1 species